rnacentral:rRNA from 1 species
GGAGCUUGCUCCUUUGACGUUAGCGGCGGACGGGUGAGUAACACGUGGAUAACCUACCUAUAAGACUGGGAUAACUUCGGGAAACCGGAGCUAAUACCGGAUAACAUAUUGAACCGCAUGGUUCAAUAGUGAAAGGCGGCUUUGCUGUCACUUAUAGAUGGAUCCGCGCCGUAUUAGCUAGUUGGUAAGGUAACGGCUUACCAAGGCAACGAUACGUAGCCGACCUGAGAGGGUGAUCGGCCACACUGGAACUGAGACACGGUCCAGACUCCUACGGGAGGCAGCAGUAGGGAAUCUUCCGCAAUGGGCGAAAGCCUGACGGAGCAACGCCGCGUGAGUGAUGAAGGUCUUCGGAUCGUAAAACUCUGUUAUCAGGGAAGAACAAAUGUGUAAGUAACUGUGCACAUCUUGACGGUACCUGAUCAGAAAGCCACGGCUAACUACGUGCCAGCAGCCGCGGUAAUACGUAGGUGGCAAGCGUUAUCCGGAAUUAUUGGGCGUAAAGCGCGCGUAGGCGGUUUUUUAAGUCUGAUGUGAAAGCCCACGGCUCAACCGUGGAGGGUCAUUGGAAACUGGAAAACUUGAGUGCAGAAGAGGAAAGUGGAAUUCCUGGGGAAACG